GUCGCAUUGAAUGUAUGCACGAAGGCAUCAACAAGUAACAUAUGAGGGGCAUAUCCUGCAUGGGAAAAUUCCAGACCCAAAGAACAAGACUGGCCAAUGGACAUGACUCUUUAGCUUCAAAUGGCUUAAAGUUUGGAGUGGAUCACAGACCAACACUACCACCACCUUGGGUCUGGACUAUGAGGGAACGCCGCUGACGACCCAAUCUGCACCCAUCACAUCCAUAACAACUGUGUGUGUGCAAGUUGUAUUUUCUGUUAAAUACAUUUUUAGCAAAGAUUGGCCUACAUUUGCAUCUUUACAGAAAACAUGUUGUGAUUGCAGCUUUGGCUUUGCUGUGCUGCAUUUAAAAAAAUGGCAGAGAUGUGCUUUGGAUUAAAAAUGACAAUGUUUGCUUUUCUGUGCCUUGUAGUCUACGACUGAAUAUGGUGCAAAUGUAUGCUCAGCUAUGUCACCUUCAUGUGAAGAAACACAAUGAUUUUUGGCACCUGAACAGGUUCAUUUAAUUUGGGCGCUGGACAUUGAUCAUGAGUCAGCUUUAGUCCAUUUUCAGUCAGACAUAUGAAGAUGUAUAUUAUAUAUCAUG